GGAAGUGUACUCAAAUUGGUGAAGAGGGCGGUCUUGAAAACCGUUAGGGCAUGUCAAAGUGUCGUGGGGGUUCGAAUCCCUCCACUUCCG
rnacentral:tRNA from 1 species